rnacentral:rRNA from 1 species
GACGAACGCUGGCGGCGUGCUUAACACAUGCAAGUCGAGCGAGCGGCGGACGGGUGAGUAAUGUCUGGGAAACUGCCUGAUGGAGGGGGAUACCUACUGGAAACGGUAGCUAAUACCGCAUACCAUCAGAUGUGCCCAGAUGGGAUUAGCUAGUAGGUGGGGUAACGGCCCACCUAGGCGACGAUCCCUAGCUGGUCUGAGAGGAUGACCAGCCACACUGGAACGGAGACACGGUCCAGACUCCUACGUGAGGCAGCAGUGGGGACUAUUGCACAAUGGGCGCAAGCCUGAUGCAGCCAUGCCGCGUGUGUGAAGAAGGCCUUCGGGUUGUAAAGCACUUUCAGCGGGGAGGCGUUACCCGCAGAAGAAGCACCGGCUAACUCCGUGCCAGCAGCCGCGGUAAUAC